UACGGAGGAGGCAAGCGUUAUCCGGAAUUAUUGGGCGUAAAGCGUCCGCAGGUGGCACUUCAAGUCUGUCGUCAAAGACUGGGGCUUAACCCUGGAAAGGCGGUGGAAACUGAAGUGCUAGAGUGCAGUAGGGGUAGAGGGAAUUCCCGGUGUAGCGGUGAAAUGCGUAGAGAUCGGGAAGAACAUCGGUGGCGAAAGCGCUCUGCUGGACUGCAACUGACACUCAGGGACGAAAGCUAGGGGAGCGAAUGGG
rnacentral:rRNA from 1 species